AUUGAACGCUGGCGGCAGGCUUAACACAUGCAAGUCGAGCGGGCGAGGUUGCUUCGGUAACUGAGCUAGCGGCGGACGGGUGAGUAAUGCUUAGGAAUCUGCCUAUUAGUGGGGGACAACAUUCCGAAAGGAAUGCUAAUACCGCAUACGCCCUACGGGGGAAAGCAGGGGAUCUUCGGACCUUGCGCUAAUAGAUGAGCCUAAGUCAGAUUAGCUAGUUGGUGGGGUAAAGGCCUACCAAGGCGACGAUCUGUAGCGGGUCUGAGAGGAUGAUCCGCCACACUGGGACUGAGACACGGCCCAGACUCCUACGGGAGGCAGCAGUGGGGAAUAUUGGACAGUGGGCGCAAGCCUGAUCCAGCCAUGCCGCGUGUGUGAAGAAGGCCUUUUGGUUGUAAAGCACUUUAAGCGAGGAGGAGGCUACUUGGAUUAAUACUCUAGGAUAGUGGACGUUACUCGCAGAAUAAGCACCGGCUAACUCUGUGCCAGCCGCCGCCGUAA
rnacentral:rRNA from 1 species